rnacentral:lncRNA from 1 species
CUUGAAUGAAGUGAUCAUGUAAACUAGAGAAAGGAGAUUAAAAAUAACCUCUGGAUAUUCCUCUCAUGUGAUCUUUAUUCUGGAUGAAGCAUUAGGACAGCUAAUAGCCGUGUGUCACUAUGCAUACAAUUGAUUUAAUUCAGAUCUUGUUUUUAAUAUGUAUUCACCAUUGGACAAUGCAUGGUUUCUUUAAAUUUAAUUCAGUUGGAACCUGACGGAUGACUUCGGCCUGCUGGCAUGCUCUUUUCGUUUUACCGUUCCGUGCGUGCUCCAUUCCCCAUAGCCAUCAUCUUGAUUUUGUGUUUAUCAAUCCAUUGCUUUUUUAUAAUUUUCCUGGAUAUACAUAUUUAUCUAAAAAAUAUAACGUUUACAUUUGCU